rnacentral:rRNA from 1 species
UACAGAGGGGGCAAGCGUUGUUCGGAAUUACUGGGCGUAAAGGGCGCGUAGGCGGCCAACUAAGUCAGACGUGAAAUCCCUCGGCUUAACCGGGGAACUGCGUCUGAUACUGGAUGGCUUGAAUCCGGGAGAGGGAUGCGGAAUUCCAGGUGUAGCGGUGAAAUGCGUAGAUAUCUGGAGGAACACCGGUGGCGAAGGCGGCAUCCUGGACCGGCAUUGACGCUGAGGAGCGAAAGCCAGGGGAGCAAACGGG